rnacentral:rRNA from 1 species
AUACGGAGGAUCCGAGCGUUAUCCGGAUUUAUUGGGUUUAAAGGGUGCGCAGGCGGCCAUUUAAGUCAGCGGUUAAAUCGUGGGGCUCAACCCCAUUCUGCCGUUGAUACUGGGUGGCUUGAUUGCGGUCGAGGUUGGCGGAAUUCGUUGUGUAGCGGUGGAAUGCAUAGAUAUGACGAAGAACACCGAUUGCGUAGGCAGCUGACCAGACCGCAAAUGACGCUCAUGCACGAAAGUGCGGGGAACGAACAGGAUUAGAUACCCUGGUAGUCCGCACAGUAAACGAUGAAUACUUGUUUUCGGCGAUAUAAUGUCGGAGGCAAAGCGAAAGCGAUAAGUAUUCCACCUGGGGAGUACGCCGGCAACGGUGAAACUCAAAUGAAUUGACGGGG